CCUACGGGCGGCAGCAGUGGGGAAUAUUGGGCAAUGGACGCAAGUCUGACCCAGCAACGCCGCGUGAAGGAAGAAGGCUUUCGGGUUGUAAACUUCUUUUAAGGGGGAAGAGCAGAAGACGGUACCCCUUGUAUAAGCCUCGGCUAACUACGUGCCAGCAGCCGCGGUAAUACGUAGGUGGCAUGCGUUGUCCGGAUUUACUGGGUGUAAAGGGCGUGCAGCCGGGAAGACAAGUCAGACGUGAAAUCCCGCGGAUCAACCGCGGAACAGCAUUUGAAACUGGUGUUCUUGAGUAUCGGAGAGGUAAGCGGAAUGCCUAGUGUAGCGGUGAAAUGCAUAGAUAUUAGGAAGAACACCAGUGGCGAAGGCGGAAUACUGGUCGACAACUGACGGUGAGGCGCGAAAGCGUGGGUAGCGAACAGGAUUAGAUACCCGUGUAGUC
rnacentral:rRNA from 1 species